GGUGAACGCUGGCGGCGUGCUUAAGACAUGCAAGUCGAACGCAGUCUUCGGACUGAGUGGCGCACGGGUGAGUAACACGUAACUGACCUACCCCCAAGUCGCGGAUAACUGGCCGAAAGGUCAGCUGAUACGUGAUGUGAUGUCCCCUUUCUGGGGGGCCAUUAAAGGUUUACUGCUUGGGGAUGGGGUUGCGUUCCAUCAGCUAGUUGGCGGGGUAAAGGCCCACCAAGGCAACGACGGAUAGCCGGCCUGAGAGGGUGGCCGGCCACAGGGGCACUGAGACACGGGUCCCACUCCUACGGGAGGCAGCAGUUAAGAAUCUUCCACAAUGGGCGAAAGCCUGAUGGAGCGACGCCGCGUGAGGGAUGAAGGUUCUCGGAUCGUAAACCUCUGAAUCAGGGACGAAAGACGCGUAAGCGGGAUGACGGUACCUGAGUAAUAGCACCGGCUAACUCCGUGCCAGCCGCCGCAGUAA
rnacentral:rRNA from 1 species